GACGAACGCUGGCGGCGUGCUUAACACAUGCAAGUCGAACGGAAAGGCCCUGCUUUUGUGGGGUGCUCGAGUGGCGAACGGGUGAGUAACACGUGAGUAACCUGCCCUUGACUUUGGGAUAACUUCAGGAAACUGGGGCUAAUACCGGAUAGGAGCUCCUGCUGCAUGGUGGGGGUUGGAAAGUUUCGGCGGUUGGGGAUGGACUCGCGGCUUAUCAGCUUGUUGGUGGGGUAGUGGCUUACCAAGGCUUUGACGGGUAGCCGGCCUGAGAGGGUGACCGGCCAAAUUGGGACUGAGAUACGGCCCAGACUCCUACGGGAGGCAGCAGUGGGGAAUAUUGCACAAUGGGCGGAAGCCUUAUGCAACAACGCCGCGUGGGGGAAGAAGGGCUUCGGGUUGUAAACCGCUUUCGGCUGUGACGAAGCGUGAGUGACGGUAAUGGGUAAAGAAGCACCGGCUAACUACGUG
rnacentral:rRNA from 1 species